UUCAAGCGGGAAUAGCCCAGAGAAAUUUGGAUUAAUACCCAUAAAUAUAAAAUGGCAUCAUUUAUAUAUUAAAGCUUCGGCACUUGAUGAUGGGUGUGCGGCUGAUUAGAUAGUUGGCGAGGUAACGGCUCACCAAGUCUACGAUCAGUAGCUGAUGUGAGAGCAUGAUCAGCCACACGGGCACUGAGACACGGGCCCGACUCCUACGGGAGGCAGCAGUAAGGAAUAUUGGACAAUGGACGAAAGUCUGAUCCAGCCAUGCCGCGUGAAGGAUUAAGGUCCUCUGGAUUGUAAACUUCUUUUAUAUGGGACGAAAAAAGAGAAUUCUUUCUCACUUGACGGUACCAUACGAAUCAGCACCGGCUAACUCCGUG
rnacentral:rRNA from 1 species